UACGUAGGGUGCGAGCGUUAAUCGGAAUUACUGGCGUAAAGCGUGCGCAGGCGGCGCCGCAAGUCAGGCGUGAAAUCCCCGAGCUUAACUUGGGAAUGGCGCUUGAAACUACGGUGCUGGAGUGUGGCAGAGGGAGGUGGAAUUCCACGUGUAGCGGUGAAAUGCGUAGAUAUCUGGAGGAACACCGGUGGCGAAGGCGGCGUUCUGGACUGCAACUGACACUGAGGAACGAAAGCCAGGGGAGCAAACGGG
rnacentral:rRNA from 1 species